UGCGAAUCUCGAAAGCCGGUCUCAGUUCGGAUUGGAGGCUGAAACUCGCCUCCAUGAAGUUGGAUUCGCUAGUAAUCGCGCAUCAGCCAUGGCGCGGUGAAUACGUUCCCGGGCCUUGUACACACCGCCCGUCAAGCCAUGGGAGCCGGGAAUGCCCGAAGUCGGUGACCCAACCGUAAGGAGGGAGCCGCCGAAGGCAGGCCUGGUAACUGGGGUGAAGUCGUAACAAGGUACC
rnacentral:rRNA from 1 species